CAAUGCAGAUGGUUACAAAAUUCAAAGAACUUGACAAGGUCAAUGAGUUUCCUUGUCUUUAAAUAUCGGGAAAAAAAUAAAAAAACAUCCGUUCUUGGUUUACUAUUUGAAUUCAAGUAUCAAUCAUCUUCAUCUCUUCGAUAGUCAUUUUAUGGAUAAAUCAGCGCUUGGCAAGGAGGCUCGUGAGGAAAUCACAAGGGAGUCACUGAUUGCUAUCUCUUAUUCAGUACCAGACGAGUUUCUUGCGUCAAAAAUCUCACCAGAAAGUGUAAACAGUGAAAAGCAGGGCAACGGAGAUUGUGAUGGAGCAGAGAAGUUUAGGUCUGAACUGAUUUCAAUAUCAUAUUCAGAGUCAACUGACAUUAAAGGCCAACCAGAUACACAUAGAGAAUUGAAGGGUUAGACAGCACGUACUGGUUCUAUUUUGUGGCCUUUUUUUUCUUUUGUUUGUUGUUGUGUUUUCCUGGUGAAACUGUUACAUUUAUGUUCUGUUGUGUUGUGUGCAUCAAUUUAUAAUCUGUAUGGGCACUGCCCUAAUGCGAAGCUUGUAGUUUUCAAUCACCUAAAGACAGAAUCUGAGGAAAAGUUUUCUUAUGUUCAUGAAUGAAUAUAGAUUCGUGUUGCUCUUA